UUAAGUUCUUGAUUCCUUUUUUCCUAUCUUUACAUCAAAAAGUUCCUUUCACCCUGUCAAACAUUGCUGAUACACAAUGACAUACAAAAUUACACUGAAUUAACUUCUGUUACUGUAAUUCAGCCAGCAGUGCUCAGGCCUCCAGACUGCAGGCUGCUGUCAUUUCGGUACUUCCCUGUUUCAACAGAAAGGGAAAGAUUACUAGGGGCAAGCCUUAACAUGUCCAUGAUGCCUGUACUGAGCGCAAUACUGACACUUUGUGCAAUAUCUCAUUUUGAGGGAGAAUCAUAGGAGGUUGAAUGAAAUGCAAUGCACAUUUACUGUAUAUCAUUGAAGUCUACAUUACAAACCUUUUAGUCAGUUCAUGAUGUAUCUAGGUCACCGCUCUGGUGUGGGUAAUUUAUUUAGAGGCGGUGCUGGUUGAAUGAAAUGUCUCCUUGAUGUCGAAUUAAUGCAGUCAAUGAAAGUUGUCCACUCUGAUUUUGUUCUUUAACAACAACAUGUUGUUAAAGUGGUCUGUUAAUAUAGCAUGUUUUGAUAUAAAAUGAACACUUUCUAUUGAUCACGGGACAUGGUGGUUACUCUGAAUAUUCAGUGUUUCUGAUUAUAUAAUGAUAUUGGUGUUGUGAUUGUGCUCUACAUUCUGAAAAAACAACCACUGUGUCGGAAUAUCUUAUCACUAUCAGCCCAUUAGGACACAAAUCAGCCACUGAUGCUUCUGUGAACUGUUGUUGUCCAUUCAAACCUUACUCUGAAAAAAGCAAUAAAUCUUUAUGGUGGGAUUAUGCAAGUGUGACUUCUUUACAUUCAAAUCUAUUAAACAGUGUGGUCUGUCAGGAUUAAAUCUUGCUACAAAUGACACACUGCAGCUGGAUUAACCGUUGUUUUUACUUUCUAUACAAAGUUAUUUGUGGCCUCAUUCAAUACCUCAUACGUUUUUAAUGUAUGUAUGUGUUUAAUUAAUAUUGUCAAAUCACAUCAUUAUGAUUUAUUAUUGUACAUUUCUAAUCCAUUAGCUUUAUAUGUGAAUGACGCCCCUUUAUGAUCACUUGAUCUGCCCACAUCAGCAUGUUUAUGUUGAUUAAAACUAAAAGUACAAACACCAACUGUCUGGCACAAACAAUAGAGGUAUGUGUUGUGUUCUACAGAGUGUAAAAGAAGUACAUCUUUUAUGUUCCAUAACAAUAUUGUAAACAGGGAAGUCUACCUAAGAGUGGGAGGAACUUGGCUGUAACUGAGGGGAUUCCUCUGCCAUAAAGUUACGUCACCUGACAGUAUUUAAGCUUGCUCUGCUAUCAAUAGUUCAAACCUGUUUCUUCUUGUCAAGCCACAACUACAGAGCUUUAUAUGCACUGAGGGAGAAGAAAAACUGAACCUUUAAAGCUUUCUUCUCUUUUCCAAAGCAUUAUCAAUACGAAAAUGGCUGGCCACAAUUUCGCUGCCACUGUUGAUCACUGCGCACACGAGCUGCGUCAAGUUGGAGACGGACUUUACUGGAGAUACAAACUGCUGGAAAUACUGAUCAAGAACUACAAGACUGUCACUAAAAUCAAGUGAGACAUGACGACAAAGCCAAAAUUGGAUUUUGGGAAACUGGAUGGUAUUCAGAGCCAAAGCAGAAGAGUCUUGGAUAAGGAUUCAUCUAUACUAUCACUGGUGGCAAAAUAGUGGCUCUCAAGUGGGAUGUCAGCUUGUGGAAACACCCUGAUGGAGAUAUUGGAUGUGGACUGUAAAUGGACUGCUGUCAUAUUCAAGACUGGAGCUCUACAGAGCACACCAAAUGUGUGGGAUGCUGUUGAUCCACCGAUUCAGACUGGAACCAAAGUGGAACAUCUGAAUGGAAGUUAUCUGCUGUAAAGAUGUUGAUUGUCACAUGUCUUCUGUACAUAUUACUGUAUAUAUGGACAUGUAUGCAUGUUAUGCUAUGUUACAUUUAUGUCAGCUGGAGAAUUGAAGACUUGGAAGAAUUUAGACUCAGUUACUUAUCUACUCUUCAAAAAAGUCUUUCUAAUGGGAAGUAUUUCAUGUUCAUGAGUUGAUAAUAAAAGAUGCAUAUUCAAUAAGCCUAGUA